UACGUAGGGUGCGAGCGUUAAUCGGAAUGACUGGGCGUAAAGGGUGCGCAGGCGGUUGGUCAAGACGGAUGUGAAAGCCCCGGGCUUAACCUGGGAGUGUCAUUCGUGACUGACGAACUAGAAUAUGGCAGAGGGAGGCGGAAUUCCACAUGUAGCAGUGAAAUGCGUAGAGAUGUGGAGGAACACCGGUGGCGAAGGCGGCAUCCUGGACCAACACUGACACUGAGGAGCGAAAGCCAGGGGAGCAAACGGG
rnacentral:rRNA from 1 species